UUAAAGGGUGAUGGCGUGCCUUUUGCAGAAUGAACCGGCGAGUUAAUGUUGCAUGCGAGGUUAAGUUGAAGAGACGGAGCCAAAGCGAAAGCGAGUCUGAAUAGGGCGAAUGAGUAUGCAGUAUUAGACCCGAAACCGAGUGAUCUAGCCAUGAGCAGGUUGAAGUUUUGGUAACACAAAAUGGAGGACCGAACCGACGUACCCGGAAACGUGCGCGGAUGACUUGUGGCUAGCGGUGAAAUUCCAAACGAACUCGGAUAUAGCUGGUUCUCCCCGAAAUAGGUUUAGGCCUAGCCUUGAGGUUAAGUACCGUGGAGGUAGAGCACUGAAUAUAUGAUGGCCCCAUCUAGGGGUACUGAAUGUAAUCAAACUCCGAAUGCCAUGGCUACAUACUCAGGAGUCAGCGUGUGGGUGAUAACGUCCAUACGCGAAAGGAAAAGAGUCCAAGAUCGCCGAUUAAGGUCCCAAAAUUUGUGCUAAGUGGGAAAGGAUGUGGAGUUGUCAAAACAGCUAGGAGGUUGGCUUAGAAGCAGCCAUCCUUUAAAGAGUGCGUAAUAGCUCACUAGUCGAGUGACACUGCGCCGAAGAUGUACCGGGGCUAAGCACAAUACCGAAAUCGCGGAUUCAUACGUAAGUAUGAGUGGUAGGGGAGCGUUCCAAGGGCGUCGAAGGUUGACCGUGAGGACAGCUGGAGCGCUUGGAAGUGAGAAUGCCGGUGUGAGUAGCGCAAGAUGGGUGAGAAUCCCAUCCACCGAUUGACUAAGGGUUCCUGGGGCAGGUUCGUCCUCCCAGGGUUAGUCGGGUCCUAAGACGAGGCCGAAAGGCGUAGCCGAUGGACAACAGGUUGAUAUUCCUGUACUAUCUAUAUGACUGAUGGAGUGACGGAGAAGGCUAGGGAGAGCCAGUUAAUGGAUUCUGGUCUAAGCACAAAGGUUUAUAAUUAGGGAAAUCCGGUUAUAGAUAAGCUGAAGUGUGAUGGUGAAGCUACUAAGUAGCGAAAUCUCUUGACGCCAAGCUUCCAAGAAAAGCUUCUAGGGCUAAUCAUAUAGGUACCCGUACCCAGAACCGACACAGGUGGUCAAGGAGAGUAUCCUAAGGUGAGCGAGAGAACCAUGGUUAAGGAACUCGGCAAAAUAACCCCGUAACUUCGGAAUAAGGGGUGGUCGCUAGACGACCGACACUAAAGACGCCCAGGCAACUGUUUACCAAAAACAUAGGUCUCUGCUAAGUCGAAAGACGAUGUAUAGGGGCUGACACCUGCCCAGUGCUGGAAGGUUAAGAGGAGUGCUUAGAAUAGACGUAAGUCGAUGAUUCGAAGGUACGAAUUGAAGCCCCAGUGAACGGCGGCCGUAACUAUAACGGUCCUAAGGUAGCGAAAUUCCUUGUCAGGUAAGUUCUGACCCGCACGAAAGGUGUAAUGAUCUGGGCACUGUCUCAACCAUGGACUCGGUGAAAUCUUAAUACCUGUGAAAAUGCAGGUUACCCGCAUCAGGACGGAAAGACCCCAUGGAGCUUUACUGUAGCUUGAUAUUGAGAUUCGGUAUGUUAUGUAGAGAAUAGGUGGGAGACUAUGAGACUAGGACGCCAGUUCUAGAGGAGUCACCUUUGGAAUACCACCCUUAAUGUAUUGGAUUUCUAACCUCGACCCAUGAUCUGGGCCAGGGACAGUGUCUGGUGGGCAGUUUGACUGGGGCGGUCGCCUCCCAAAAAGUAACGGAGGCGCCCAAAGGUUCCCUCAGAAUGGAUGGAAAUCAUUCGCAGAGCGUAAAGGUAUAAGGGAGCUUAACUGCAAGACCAACAAGUCGAGCAGAUACGAAAGUAGGGCUUAGUGAUCAGACGGUGCAGAAUGGAAUGGCCGUCGCUUAACGGAUAAAAGUUACCCUGGGGAUAACAGGCUGAUACCACCCAAUAGUUCACAUAGACGGUGGUGUUUGGCACCUCGAUGUCGGCUCGUCACAUCCUGGAGGUGAAGUCGCUUCCAAGGGUUGGGCUGUUCGCCCAUUAAAGUGGCACGCGAGCUGGGUUCAGAACGU
rnacentral:rRNA from 1 species